UACGAAGGGAGCUAGCGUUGAACGGAAUUACUGGGCGUAAAGCGCACGUAGGCGGACUUGUAAGUUGGGGGUGAAAUCCCGGGGCUCAACCCCGGAAUUGCCUUCAAGACUGCAAGUCUGGAGGUCAGGAGAGGCGAGCGGAAUUCCGAGUGUAGAGGUGAAAUUCGUAGAUAUUCGGAGGAACACCAGUGGCGAAGGCGGCUCGCUGGACUGAUACUUACGCUGAGGUGCGAAAGCGUGGGGAGCAAACAGG
rnacentral:rRNA from 1 species